UACGUAGGGCGCAAGCGUUAUCCGGAAUUAUUGGGCGUAAAGAGCUCGUAGGCGGUUUGUCGCGUCUGCCGUGAAAGUCCGGGGCUCAACUCCGGAUCUGCGGUGGGUACGGGCAGACUAGAGUGAUGUAGGGGGAGACUGGAAUUCCUGGUGUAGCGGUGAAAUGCGCAGAUAUCAGGAAGAACACCCGUGGCGAAGGCGGCUCUCUGGGACGGUACUGACGCUGAGGCACGAAGGCCAGGGGAGCAAACGGG
rnacentral:rRNA from 1 species